UCUCAUCAUGGCCACUUAGCUUGCUCGAGAUUACACAGAACCAUGCCUCUGGUUUCCUGGUACAGUGCUCCGGCAGGUGACGGAUGCUCCUGGGUGACAUAUCACGGAUCUCUCUGAGGUAAGACGUGCCUUUUGCCUUCCACCUUCUGCCGUGAUUGUGAGGACCCGCCAGCCACGUGGAACUGUGAGUCCAUUAAACUUCUUUUUCUUUAUAAAUUAUCUAGUGGUGGAGCCCUAGAUUUGAAAAAAGAUGCUUCUGUGGUUCCAGGCAAGAUGGCUGACUAGGAACAGCUCCGGUCUGCAGCUCCCAGCGAGACCAACACAGAAGGCAGGCCGUCAUCCUUAAGCCAUAAAAUGCCCUGUAGAGGUGGAACAGGUCAGAAGACUGAAUGCUCAAGCUGCAUGUGGAGUUAACAUGGCAAUAACACAGAAUGUGAUGACAGCAGACUCUAGAAUCUCAUGACAUCAGUUUAUAUUAGAACUGUUCUGUAGCUCACCUUUCUCCGAAGUUGGAAUUCACAUGGCUGUGGAAUGUGUUUCUACCUUCACUGUUGGAGGAGUCAUCCAACAAAUCCAGGGGUGGGAAAACAGCUGGAUAAGGACAAUAACAUAUAUGACAGCUGUACAAUCC
rnacentral:lncRNA from 1 species